rnacentral:rRNA from 1 species
UACGUAGGGGGCUAGCGUUGUUCGGAAUUACUGGGCGUAAAGCGCGUGUAGGCGGCUUUGCAAGUCGGGUGUGAAAUCCCACGGCUCAACCGUGGAAGUGCAUUCGAAACUGCGAGGCUAGAGUCCUGGAGAGGAAGGUGGAAUGCUUGGUGUAGAGGUGAAAUUCGUAGAUAUCAAGCGGAACACCGGUGGCGAAGGCGGCCUUCUGGACAGUGACUGACGCUGAGACGCGAAAGCGUGGGGAGCAAACAGG